ensembl:snRNA U6 U6 spliceosomal RNA
GUGCUUCCUUCAGCGGCACGUAUGCUAAAAUUAGAAAGAUAACAGAGAGGAUUAGCAUGGCCCCGGUACAAGGAUGACAUGCAAAUUUGUGAAGCAUUCCAUAAAAAA